AGCGUAGACGGCGCAGCAAGUCUGAUGUGAAAGGCAGGGGCUUAACCCCUGGACUGCAUUGGAAACUGCUGUGCUUGAGUGCCGGAGGGGUAAGCGGAAUUCCUAGUGUAGCGGUGAAAUGCGUAGAUAUUAGGAGGAACACCAGUGGCGAAGGCGGCUUACUGGACGGUAACUGACGUUGAGGCUCGAAAGCGUGGGGAAGCAAACA
rnacentral:rRNA from 1 species